rnacentral:rRNA from 1 species
GUAGGGGGCGAGCGUUGUCCGGAUUUACUGGGCGUAAAGCGCGUGUAGGCGGCGAUUUAAGUCGGGUGUGAAAGCCCGGGGCUCAACCCCGGGAUGCCGCCCGAGACUGGGUCGCUUGAGGCCGGAAGAGGGGAGUGGAAUUCCUGGUGUAGCGGUGAAAUGCGUAGAGAUCAGGAGGAACACCCGUGGCGAAGGCGGCUCCCUGGUCCGGUACUGACGCUGAGACGCGAAAGCGCGGGGAGCGAACGGGAUUAGAUACCCCGGUAGUCCGCGCCGUAAACGAUGGUCACUAGGUGUGCGUGGUAUCGACCCCACGCGUGCCGGCGCUAACGCAUUAAGUGACCCGCCUGGGGAGUACGGCCGCAAGGUUGAA